rnacentral:misc_RNA from 1 species
AACCUUAUGGACCUGCGGGCGUAUACCUGCGGAAGGAUCAUUAAUGAGUUUUGAAACGCGGGGCUUGCUGCUGGCGGAAACGCAUGUGCACGGCCCCGUGCUCUCAAUCCACUCAACCCCUGUGCACUCUAUGGGAGCUAGUAGUCGGGUAGGGAGGGAGGCAUGUAGUCUUACUUAGGACGAGUGCCUUUCUCUUUUGACGGUGCCGACGAAGACUUCAAUUUAUUUAUCAACCAUAAC